rnacentral:rRNA from 1 species
CGGGACACGUGGUAUCCUGUCUGAAUAUGGGGGGACCAUCCUCCAAGGCUAAAUACUCCUGACUGACCGAUAGUGAACCAGUACCGUGAGGGAAAGGCGAAAAGAACCCCGGCGAGGGGAGUGAAAAAGAACCUGAAACCGUGUACGUACAAGCAGUGGGAGCACGCUUCGGCGUGUGACUGCGUACCUUUUGUAUAAUGGGUCAGCGACUUAUAUUCUGUAGCAAGGUUAACCGAAUAGGGGAGCCGAAGGGAAACCGAGUCUUAACUGGGCGUUAAGUUGCAGGGUAUAGACCCGAAACCCGGUGAUCUAGCCAUGGGCAGGUUGAAGGUUGGGUAACACUAACUGGAGGACCGAACCGACUAAUGUUGAAAAAUUAGCGGAUGACUUGUGGCUGGGGGUGAAAGGCCAAUCAAACCGGGAGAUAGCUGGUUCUCCCCGAAAGCUAUUUAGGUAGCGCCUCGUGAAUUCAUCUCCGGGGGUAGAGCACUGUUUCGGCAAGGGGGUCAUCCCGACUUACCAACCCGAUGCAAACUGCGAAUACCGGAGAAUGUUAUCACGGGAGACACACGGCGGGUGCUAACGUCCGUCGUGAAGAGGGAAACAACCCAGACCGCCAGCUAAGGUCCCAAAGUCAUGGUUAAGUGGGAAACGAUGUGGGAAGGCCCAGACAGCCAGGAUGUUGGCUUAGAAGCAGCCAUCAUUUAAAGAAAGCGUAAUAGCUCACUGGUCGAGUCGGCCUGCGCGGAAGAUGUAACGGGGCUAAACCAUGCACCGAAGCUGCGGCAGCGACACUAUGUGUUGUUGGGUAGGGGAGCGUUCUGUAAGCCUGCGAAGGUGUACUGUGAGGU